rnacentral:rRNA from 1 species
CCUACGGGAGGCUGCCGUGGGGGAUAUUGCACAAUGGGGGAAACCCUGAUGCAGCGACGCCGCGUGGGUGAAGACGCGUUUCGGCGUGUAAAGCUCUGUCAGCAGGGAAGAAAAUGACAGUACCUGAACAAGAAGCCCCGGCUAACUACGUGCCAGCAGCCGCGGUAAUACGUAGGGGGCAAGCGUUAUCCUGAUUUACUGGGUGUAAAGGGGGCGGAGACGGCGAUGUAAGUCAGGAGUGAAAGCCCGGGGCCCAACCCCGGGACUGCUUGGGAAACUGGGUGGCUGGAGUGCAGGAGGGGCAGGCGGAAUUCCUGGUGUAGCGGUGAAAUGCGUAGAUAUCAGGAGGAACACCGGUGGCGAAGGCGGCCUGCUGGACUGAAACUGACGUUGAGGCUCGAAAGCGUGGGGAGCAAACAGGAUUAGAUACCCUGGUAGUC